rnacentral:rRNA from 1 species
GAUGAACGCUGGCGGCGUGCCUAAUACAUGCAAGUCGAGCGAACAGACGAUGAGCUUGCUCCUUUGCCGUUAGCGGCGGACGGGUGAGUAACACGUGGGUCACCUACCUCUAAGACUUGGAUAACUUCGGGAAACCGGAGCUACUACCGGCUCAUAUUUCGAACCGCAUGGUUCGAUAGUUAUACAUGCCUUUGCUAUCACUUAUAGAUGGACCUGCGCCGUAUUAGCUAGUUGGUAAGGUAACGGCUUACCAAGGCAACGAUACGUAGCCGACCUGAGAGGGUGAUCAGCCACACUGGAACUGAGACACGGUCCAGACUCCUACGGGAGGCAGCAGUAGGGAAUAUUCGGCAAUGGGCGAAAGCCUGACGGAGCAACGCCGCGUGAGUGAAGAAGGUCUUCGGAUCGUAAAACUCUGUUAUUAGGAAAGAACAAAAGUGGAAGAAAAUGUGCACGUCUUGACGGUACCUAAAGAGAAAGCAACGGCUAACUACGUG